UACGUAGGGGGGCAAGCGUUGUCCGGAUUUAUUGGGCGUAAAGAGCGUGUAGGCGGCCUGGCAGGUCCGUUGUGAAAACUGAAGGCUCAACCUCCAGACGUCGACGGAAACCGUAUGGCUAGAGUCCGGAAGAGGAGAGUGGAAUUCCUGGUGUAGCGGUGAAAUGCGCAGAUAUCAGGAAGAACACCAAUGGCGAAGGCAGCUCUCUGGGACGGUACUGACGCUGAGACGCGAAAGCGUGGGGAGCGAACAGG
rnacentral:rRNA from 1 species